rnacentral:rRNA from 1 species
CCUACGGGAGGCAGCAGUGAGGAAUAUUGGUCAAUGGACGCAAGUCUGAACCAGCCAUGCCGCGUGCAGGAAGACGGCUCUAUGAGUGGUAAACUGCUUUUGUACGAGGGUAAACGCAGAUACGCGUAUUUGUCUGAAAGUAUCGUACGAAUAAGGAUCGGCUAACUCCGUGCCAGCAGCCGCGGUAAUACGGAGGAUUCAAGCGUUAUCCGGAUUUAUUGGGUUUAAAGGGUGCGUAGGCGGUCGGAUAAGUUAGAGGUGAAAUCCCGAGGCUCAACUUCGGGAUUGACUCUGAUACUGUUCGGCUAGAGAGUAGUUGCGGUAGGCGGAAUGUAUGGUGUAGCGGUGAAAUGCUUAGAGAUCAUACAGAACACCGAUUGCGAAGGCAGCUUACCAAGCUACUACUGACGUUGAGGCACGAAAGCGUGGGGAGCAAACAGGAUUAGAUACCCCAGUAGUC